rnacentral:rRNA from 1 species
GACGAACGCUGGCGGCGUGCUUAACACAUGCAAGUCGAACGGAAAGGCCCUGCUUGCAGGGUACUCGAGUGGCGAACGGGUGAGUAACACGUGGGUGAUCUGCCCUGCACUUCGGGAUAAGCCUGGGAAACUGGGUCUAAUACCGGAUAGGAGCCAUUUUUAGUGUGAUGGUUGGAAAGUUUUUUCGGUGUAGGAUGAGCUCGCGGCCUAUCAGCUUGUUGGUGGGGUAAUGGCCUACCAAGGCGGCGACGGGUAGCCGGCCUGAGAGGGUGGACGGCCACAUUGGGACUGAGAUACGGCCCAGACUCCUACGGGAGGCAGCAGUGGGGAAUAUUGCACAAUGGGCGCAAGCCUGAUGCAGCGACGCCGCGUGGGGGAUGACGGCCUUCGGGUUGUAAACUCCUUCCGCUAGGGACGAAGCUUUUUGUGACGGUACCUAGAGAAGAAGCACCGGCUAACUACGUG